UACGGGGGGGGCAAGCGUUGUUCGGAAUUACUGGGCGUAAAGCGCGCGUAGGCGGCUUUUCAAGUCAGACGUGAAAGCCCCAGGCUUAACCUGGGAAUUGCGUUUGAUACUGUUAAGCUAGAGUGUGGAAGGGGCUACUGGAAUUCCGUGUGUAGCGGUGAAAUGCGUAGAUAUCGAGAGGAACACCAGUGGCGAAGGCGAGUCUCUAGACAAUUCCUGACGCUGAGGCACGAAAGCUAGGGGAGCAAACAGG
rnacentral:rRNA from 1 species